rnacentral:lncRNA from 1 species
UUCCUGCCAAAUACAUGCAAUAGCAAUAAUAGCUGACAUUUAUGCAUUGCCUUAAGACGGUGUAGAAUCAUUACUUUAUAACAACCCUGCACAUCAAAUAGAAGUAUCCUUUCCUCCACAUUAAAGAUGUGAAAACUAAUGCUGAGAGAAGUGACGUCAUGCGUAAAUCACCAUAUCAGAACCACAAUGCACUUCCGGGUCUCUGAAGUUAGCCCUUCUAUCACUUCCUCAAAUCUCCUAAUGGAGUCUCACCUAAUAGGAUCUUCAUGGUUAAGCACCAAACGUAGACGGUCGCUAGGCUGAGGGGACUAGAGAUUUGUCCAAGGAGGCCGGGGCAGGACAAUGACAGAACUCCAUGCCUACAGUAUAAAAAUAACAGAAUUUAAUCAGGAAACUGAGGCAUGCAGGGUGCAGUGGCCUGGCGAGUCAGUAUCUGAGGCCAGAUUUCAGACCUUCACUCAAUCUACCGUGUCCUCUAGCUGCCCCAAGAUUGUUCGUGAUAGUUCUGAACAGAACACGGGUUCAUUGUCUGAAUGUGGAGAAACAUAUAUCUAUCUAGGUGGCUCGAAGGAUAGAAUACCAAGCCUGGAGAUGGAAGAACUGGAUUCAGAUCUGGCUUCAGAUACUUCCUACCUGGGUGACCCUAGAGCAUGA